GAGAGUAUAGUUUAAGGGUAAAACCGUAGCGUUCCAUGUUACAAAUCCGGGUUCGAAUCUCCGGUAUUCUUA
rfam:Aschersonia aleyrodis RCEF 2490 scaffold_60, whole genome shotgun sequence.